rnacentral:ncRNA from 1 species
UGACUCUAGUCUGGUACUGUGAAGAGACAUCAGAAACAUAGAAUAAAUGGGAGGCCCCAUGGUUGUGGCCUGGUGACGUUGCCAGUGAAAUAAUACUGAUCAUUUUUUCCACUUACCCAGUGAGCUGUGGGUGGAAGGUGAGCCCCAAAGGGCUUUCAUGUCUGAUGCCAAGUGCCUGGCACAACCUGCUCCACUGACAAUGUCAGGUGGGGAUUUUGACUGGGGCAGUAGACCAGGCAAACCAUAACACAGGUAUCCUAAGGCAACCUCAGGGAGAGCAGAAACAACCCAUGGAGCAGAAGAUCAAGGUUUGAUCUUGAUUUUCAGUACAAAUGUCGUCCAUGAAAGCAGGGCCUCAUGAUCCUUCUGACUUUCAGGUUUUCAGCAGGCAGACAGACA